rnacentral:rRNA from 1 species
AGCUCCAAUAGCGUAUACUAAUGUUGUUGCAGUUAAAAAGCUCGUAGUCGGAUUUCAGGGUCGGUUUGUAUUUUGCCAUUGGUAAUUGCAACUCGUCUCUUCUUUGACAGAAGACUUCCUAACAUUAAUUUGUCGGGUUGUUCAACUGUCUCUUUUACUUUGAGAAAAUUAGAGUGUUCAAAGCAGGUUUUCGCCUGAAUAUUACUCUUGGAAUAAUAAUAUAGGACUUGGAUUCUUGGUUGUUGGUGAUCUAGAGUCUGAGUAAUGAUUAAUAGCGACGGUUGGGGUGAUUCGUACUGCAAAGCGAGAGGUGAAAUUCUUGGACCUUUGUAUGACGAACAACUGCGAAAGCAUUUCACUAGGACGUUCGCG